GCAGGUUUCCAUAGUGGGUAUCAAACACCAGGCCUCUGGUAGGGAAUGCAGGAUCAUACACAAAAUUGAGCAGCUCAUGUGGGUAUCCAAUGGAAACUAAUCUUUCUACGGUCAGGUCAAAUCCAAGAGAUUCGUAUUCAGGGGAUUUAUACACUGUACCAAGAUGAGAUUUCAGUUAGAAAAUGUGUACACAGCUAGGGGGUUAAACAAGAAGGCAGUUACAAGUCACGUUCCCAUUCACCCUCCUCCCUCCUCCACGUUACACAGAUGCACAAACGCUCCCUCUUCCACCUGCUCAGAUAGGUUUGGUUUGCUGUGAUUUCACAAAGCC
rnacentral:lncRNA from 1 species